rnacentral:lncRNA from 1 species
UUAUUUCCGAUAAUUCCCAAUGAUACAAGAUUCCCCAACUUUAUACGCAACAAUUGAAUGAAUUGAAAUGCCCUAACUCUCCUACCUGAAACUUUAACAGAAACUGGUACUCCCGUAGCCCUUAACCCCUUUUCAACAAAUUACAUUUUAUACUAAAUGAUAAAUAUGCCCCUUUACUAACAAACUAACUUCCUAACUCUAUUAAUUCUCUCAAUUGGCAUAUAACAACUACUCCUCCCUUGAAAGAAUCCUUGUUCUCAAGGAUUACAAUGAGGAAAUUGUCUCUGAAGCUCUUGCAAAUCCAUCCAAGUGUUGUCAGCUUCUAAAC